CGGCCGCGUCGACAAUAUUUAUAGCCUGAAGAUGAGCUCGCGUCCGAUUAGCUAGUUGGCGGAGUAAAAGCCCACCAAGGCGACGAUCGGUAGCUGGUCUGAGAGGACGAUCAGCCACACUGGGACUGAGACACGGCCCAGACUCCUACGGGAGGCAGCAGUGGGGAAUUUUCCGCAAUGGGCGAAAGCCUGACGGAGCAAGACCGCGUGGGGGAAGAAGGCUCUUGGGGUUGUAAACUUCUGUCGUAAGGGACGAUAAUGACGGUACCUUACAAGAAAGCCACGGCUAACUACGUGCCAGCAGCCGCGGUAAAACGUAGGUGGCAAGCGUUGUCCGGAAUUACUGGGUGUAAAGGGAGC
rnacentral:rRNA from 1 species